ACCCAGUUGACAUCCGCGACGAAGCGGCGGCCGAACCCUGUCGCCUGCAGCGCCCGCUUCUUGGGUAUGCUGUACAGGGAUCUUGCAUCAUCUUCAUCGCCUGCUUCAACGUGGAACAACAGCACAGGUGCCAGGCUAGGGUCUAGCGGUGGCGGCGGCGAUUCUUCGUUUUCUAACGUUUCCAUGAGUUAGUUUCCCUUCGACUGGACUCGACUUGGAGGCUCCACUUCCUGCUGCAACAGCGACGGCGGCGGAUCACGGGUUGCCUUAGUUUAACUAGUAUAUUACCGUGCUAACGCUACGGUGACAUUUUAAAAAAAUUACAAAACUAAAAAAAAUCAUAAAACUAAAAACAAACCUACCCCACUAACAAGAAAGUCUAUAUGAAAAUUACGGUACUUUUUUUGCGAAUAUAUAUUUGGUUUUAACAAAUGCUAUGUAGAAAAAUUGAGAAACACAGCUGAUCUAUAAAUGCCCAUCAUUUGUCUUGUAACUUUGGUAACAAGUCUAUAAAAAAUGAGAUACUUGAUUGUAGUUAGUGUAGGUGUAUAUCUGCCUUAUUGGACAAACAAGCAAGAAAAACAAAAUUAUAGAGAUCGAUUAAAGGAAUAAUAAAACAAAAAAUGUCUAACAAAAUCAGGCACCUAUGUUCAAAGUCUAUCACGCAAUGCCAAGAAGACAAGCAAGGAAGGGUAUGUAGAAAAUUUUCAAAGAUUUUGUGAGAUCCAUGUGUUUAAUUUCAUAGUAUUGUGUUCUUAUCGUGCGAUCCAUGUGUUUUAUGUAUUAAAGUUUAGUUAUUCUGUUGCAACGCACGGGCACGAACCUAGUAUAAUAAUAAACUAAUAACUACGAUGAUCGAUAUUAAAAAAAAUACUACGAUGAUCGAUGCCAUCGAGAUCAUGCACCCUACGCAGUGCGUCCGCGUGUGUCU
rnacentral:lncRNA from 1 species